CUGGGUUUCUUCAGCUCAGUGGAGAAAAUUAUACUCCAGGUGGAUCCAAGAGAAUCUGUUGCAAAGGAUUCUGUGGGCCCAGAUAUCAGAAUCUGAGAGAUGGGAAGAGAACA